AGAAGAAAGAGGGAAUCCCAAGCAGGCUCCAUUUCCUGACCCUGAGAGUGAGACUCUGUCUCACGACCCUGAGAUCAUGACCUGAGCCAAAAUCAAGAGUCAGACACUUAACUAACUGAGUCACUCAGGGGCUCCUGGAUGAUACAUUCUUAAAGGAUGCUGAUUUUAUCUUGGUUUCCUCACUUCUUUAAAUUGUCUUGCACACUCUUUGGUCUGUCGUUUGUUGCUUCUUUCUGUGUUUUUCCUGAUUAUACUCAAGGAUUUAUCACAUGGAUAUAACAAAGGGGAAAAAAAGUCAAAUCAAAAGGAAAAAAAGUACCAUCUAACAGAACAAGUAGGGCACCUGGGUGGCUUAGUUGGUUAACCGUUCAACUUCUGCUCGGGUCAUGAUCUUGUGGUUCAUGGGUUCGAGCCCCACAUUGGGCUCUGUGCUGACAGCUCAGAGCCUGGAGCCUACUUCAGAUUCUGUGUCUCCCUCUCUCUCUGCCCCUCCCCCACUCGCAUUCUGUCUCCUCUCAAAAAUGAAUAAACAUUAAAAAAAACAAGCAAAAUGUAGUUUUUAUUUUUUUAUAGUAAUGACAUCUGGGUGUAAUUUAGGUUAUUUUUCACUUUAAACAAGUUACUGUCUCAAUAUGAGGAAAAACCUGUAAAAACUUGAGUGUAGACUUCUGUAGAUGGUGUGUGCCUGUGGUAUAAGAUCUUACGGAAUCUCUGUUACUACAUUUUGCUUAAUGGAAAAGAAUAGCAGUGACAGAUCCAUAAUUAUCUGUGGACAGCUGCAUUUUGGGUUACGUGUCCUGUCACAAAUAUAUGUGGUGCCAGUUACCUUGUAUUUGUUAUAUGAUGGAGAAAAGAGUGGGUAUUAUAAAACCGGUAAUGUGAGUCAGAUUUAUACAUGGGCUUGCAGUGUAAGUAGGGAUCCUCAGACAGCCUCUCUAAGACAUUGACCAACAUCCUUUCUUGCUUUCUUAGUUUUCUUAGAGAUGGCAUGGGGGGAUAGUUGGGAACUGGUAGGACAGAGGUGUACUGAGUUCUACCUGACAGUGAUUUAGAGUAACGCUUUGCAUCGAUCUCUGCUUAUUCUCCUAUAACACAUGUCCUUAUGCUUACUUUUUAAAAGGGUUGUGCCUUUAUUAAGCUGUGACCUUCUUGAGGGCAAGGACCUCAUUCGCUCAUUCAUUAUUUUGAAGAAAAGUUAAUUCUUUUUUUUAAUUUUUUAUUUUGAAGAAAAGUUAAUUCUGAAGAAUGCAGUGGUUCAUGAGCUUGCCCAGUAUUUGUUUCUCCAGACAAAUCUCUUUAUCAGCAAAGAGAUGAAUGCACCUGGAUAAUAGAUAAUUGGUAUAUUUAAUCAGUUACCUAAUGACUGAGAGGAUUUGAUUCUCACUCUAUAUUAUUUUAUUACUGAAACAGACUGCCCAGUAGAUUUUAUAAACAUUCUCUAGAGAACAAUUAGGUUUGCAGUGAGUUGUUUUACUUAGAAUGCCACUUGGAAUUAAAUGUUUAUUUGUGCCCUCUAUCUUGAUAUAAUCGGAGCGCAAUUUAAAAGUACUGCAGUGUCUGUGGUCACAGAACUUGCUGCCCUUUAAAAAACAGGCUACUUGAGUAUUGUUUCUCUUCUAUUUGGCAGACACAGAUGCAGUAGUUAAUAAAGGUCAUUUUGCUACCUAGUCAUGUGAGCUUUUAAUGACUGUUACCUGAACACCUGCUAGUUACAUCACUAUGGUUACCAAAAACAUUCAACACAAUAUAGAUGCGGUACUUUGGAAAUCUGACUUGGGCUCAUCUAAAUUGCUAUUUAAGAACAUUUUAAUAUUCCUUUAAAUUUUAAGUAAUUGUGGGAAAGCCCUUAUCUUGCUGUAAACAAUCACACAUGUGAAUGAAAACCUUUGGAAUGGUUAUACUUGAUAAUCUUGGCAUCCUGUGGGCUGAUUUCUUGGUGUCUAGGAAUUAAUUGUCUGUGCAGAAUUGGGUGGGGGGAAGCAGUGACUUUCUUAUGCAUUGAUUAUCCUCUGAAACUUUGAUUGGAGAUGUGGGGUUUGGAGUAGAGUUGAAAGGAAAGGAAAAGUUCAUUCAGAUUCUGCUGGGAGAAAUUUGAAGAGUGAGAAAGAGUAUAUUGAUUAUGGGUUUUCAAAUAGGACCAAGUAUUUUUAAAAUUUUGAAAUAAUUUCAGAGUCACAGCGGGUUGCAAAACAUAGUACUGGGAGGUCCCAGGUACCCUUCACCAGUUCCCCCUAUGGCAACGUGUUACAGAACUGUAGUUAAAUAUGAAAACCAGGAUAUUGACAUUAUGGCAACUUACAGACUUUAUUCAAAUUUCACCAGUUUUAUAUGCUGUGUGUGUGUGUGUGUGUGUGUGUGUGUGUAGUUUAUGCAGUUAGCACAUGCAUAGAUUUGUGUAACCACUGUGCUUAAAAUCAGGCAGAGUGCCUGGAAGUCCAGGGUGGGCACACUCUGUAGGGCAGUUACAGUGGUGGAGUAAGGGCCUUAAGUAAGCCAGUGCUUUGCAUUCUUCUCAGUCACAUUCAGUCUUUGUCCUGACGUUUGCAAGAGAGCUGCUUUGUCUCCAUCUUUAGGUCCAAGAGCCAGGAGGAAAAGGAGAAGGGGAACUCCUGAAUGGGUGUCACCUGGAUAAAGAAAGCAUAAACACUUCCUUAAACCACUAGCCAGAACUGUAUCACAUGGCUGCAAGGUGGCCUGAGAAGCAAGUAUUUUUUAACUUGAAACAUUCUUGCUGAAAAACUGGGGUUCUAGCAGUACGGGAGAUGUAGGAAUAUGGGAUACACAACUAGCAGUGUUUGUUGGAGAAUGCAGAUAUAAAUGGUAAUGAAAUAUCAUGUGUGCCUAAGACUAGCUAAAAUUCAAAAAUAUGGAUAAUAUUCAGUGCAAUGAAAGAGGUACUAACACGUUGUUUGGUAUGUUUUUUGGUGGGCAGUUUCGUAUUCUUUAUCAGAAUUAAAAGUCAUGUUUUAUCUGGCCCAUCAUUUCAAAGCUGUGAUUCUGUUUUGUAGAACACACUGUUCCUGCUUAUGUGCAUAAAGGUCUGUGUGCAGCGUUAUUCACAUAAUAUGAAACCACCUGAAAUUACUUGGAUAACUCAGUAGGAGAAAGAUUAGUACACAGUGAUCUGUCCAUUCAGUGGAGCACAGUACAGCCGGCCAUUAAAGAUAAUAAGCUUGAUUGAUACGAACAGAUCUGGAAAACAGCCAUGAAAUAUAUGUGAGGAGAAAAUUGCAGAACAGUAUGCAUAGUACGGUUCUCUUUGCUGCCCUCUCGUACGUACGUAUGUACGUGUGAUGAGUGCGUGUGUGUGUGUAUUUGGUGUGAUUUUAUCUGUUUUGGAAUAUGCAGAUGAAAAAGACUGGAUGGAAACACCCUGAAGAACAGUU
rnacentral:lncRNA from 1 species